AUUGAACGCUGGCGGCAGGCCUAACACAUGCAAGUCGAGCGAACGGCGGACGGGCGAGUAAUGUAUGGGGACUGCCCGAUAGAGGGGGAUAACUACUGGAAACGGUGGAUAAUACCGCAUACUAUCGGAUAACCCAUAUGGGAUUAGCUAGUAGGUGGGGUAAGGGCUCACCUAGGGGACGAGGUCUAGCUGGUCUGAGAGGAUGAUCAGCCACACUGGGACUGAGACACGGCCCAUACGCCUACGGAGGCAGCAGUGGGGAAGAUUGCAGAAUGGGCGCAAGCCUGAUGCAGCCAUGCCGCGUGUAUGAAGAAGGCCGUAGGGUUGUAAAGUACUUUUAGCUGGGAGGCGUUACCCGCAGAAGAAGCAUCGGCUAACUCCGUGCCAGCAGCCGCGGUAAUAC
rnacentral:rRNA from 1 species